UACGUAGGUGGCAAGGCGUUGUCCGGAAUUAUUGGGCGUAAAGCGCGCGCAGGUGGUUCCUUAAGUCUGAUGUGAAAGCCCACGGCUCAACCGUGGAGGGUCAUUGGAAACUGGGGAACUUGAGUGCAGAAGAGGAAAGUGGAAUUCCAAGUGUAGCGGUGAAAUGCGUAGAGAUUUGGAGGAACACCAGUGGCGAAGGCGACUUUCUGGUCUGUAACUGGACACUGAGGCGCGAAAGCGUGGGGAGCAAACAGGG
rnacentral:rRNA from 1 species